UGCUCGCCACUGAGCUGUCCUACCUUUCGGAGGCUCUGGUGCUGAGUCAGUAACUUCAUCAAGACUUAUUCUUUGGCAUCAUCCUAGCAAACUGGAGAUGCAAAGCCAGUGACCUCAGUCUUUGAAUGGCAGAUUUAGUUAUACAGCUAAACAGCACCACUCCUCCUCCUGACUUGUCUACCUUUGGACUCUAUAUUCUGUUUACAGCUAAAUUGACUCUUCUCAG